rnacentral:lncRNA from 10 species
ACUUGUUUUUCUUCCACCGCUGAGGCAAAUGCGGGGUGGCUGAUCACCUGGCAGACAUCUUAGGAAACAGGAGCACCGGUCUGGGAAACUGCUGGCCUGGCCUAACACCUGGCGCUGUGGUGCAGGCAAGAGGGCAGCCACUGAGGAUUCUUGAGGAGAGAGAGACCAUAGAAUGAAUGAAAGAGUUGGAAAGACUUUAAAGCUCUGGGAGGCUGAAUCCUUUAUUUCGCUGGAAGAAAAACUGAAUGCCAAGAGGGCCUCACUUUCCCCAAAGCUAUACAGCCAUCAGGGGCAAUGCUGGGAUUCCCCCAUGGAUCUCUUGACUCCUAAUACAGUGCUCUUUCUGAUAUGCCAUCUGGCUCCAUAAUGAACAUUGUGUUCCAGGAAAAUCAGUCUGCGCUGAACAGGAUGGAAUUGGGGCAGGACGUCCAGUGAGGAGGACAUUGAGGCAGUAGAGCAGUUGAUUGCCGAAUGACCACCUACCCUGACUUAAAAGAUCAACCUCAGGGAGGAUUGGAGCUUUCUAGAGUCUCUUGGGACAGCAGAAGCACAGGCCGGGUUGGACUGAAUCUUUAAGUGGACAUGAGGGACAAAGUACCUCCUGUUGGUAAACAUCUCACCACCAACCCACUGUGGUGGCUA